rnacentral:rRNA from 1 species
GAUGAACGCUGGCGGCGUGCCUAACACAUGCAAGUCGAGCGAGCGGCGGACGGGUGAGUAACACGUGAAAACCUACCCAUAUGACUGGGAUAACUUCGUGAAACCGGAGUUAAUACCGGAUACUUAUAGAGUGAUUCGCGCUGCAUUAGCUAGUUGGUAAGGUAACGGCUUACCAAGGCAACGACGCAUAGCCGACCGGAGAGGAUGACCAGCCACACUGGAACUGAGACACGGCCCAGACGCCUACGGGAGGCAGCAGUGGGGAAUAUUGCACAAUGGGCGCAAGCCUGAUGCAGCCAUGCCGCGUGUGUGAAGAAGGCCUUCGGGUUGUAAAGCACUGUCAGCGAGGAGGCGUUACUCGCAGAAGAAGCACCGGCUAACUCCGUGCCAGCAGCCGCGGUAAUAC